rnacentral:lncRNA from 1 species
AUUAGUGAACCUGAACUAUGCAUAUUAUAACUUAUCAAAAGUGAUGGUGAUGGUGAAUAUAACCUAUAGAUAUCAUAGUUCACCGGAGAGUAUUAGUGAUUAGUGAACCUGAACUAUGCAUAUUAUAGCUUAUCAAAAGUGAUGGUGAUGGUGAAUAUAACCUAUACAUAUCAUAGUUCACCGGAGAGUAAUAGUGAUUAGUGAACCUGAACUAUGCAUAUUAUAGCUUAUCAAAAGUGGUGGUGAUGGUGAAUAUAACCUAUACAUAUCAUAGUUCACCGGAGAGUAAUAGUGAUUAGUGAACCUGAACUAUGCAUAUUAUAGCUUAUCAAAAGUGGUGGUGAUGGUGAAUAUAACCUAUACAUAUCAUAGUUCACCGGAGAGUAAUAGUGAUUAGUGAACCUGAACUAUGCAUAUUAUAGCUUAUCAAAAGUGGUGGUGAUGGUGAAUAUAACCUAUACAUAUCAUAGUUCACCGGAGAGUAAUAGUGAUUAGUGAACCUGAACUAUGCAUAUUAUAGCUUAUCAAAAGUGGUGGUGAUGGUGAAUUCCUUUCUUGUAAUUAAGUUCAUAGGGUAGAUGAAACAUAAACUAUACCUAUUAUAGUUUAUCACUUUGUUUGUAAUAUAUAUUUACCAUAACUAUACCGAUUAUAACUAGCGUGUUCGUUUGUGGGGGUAUAAUGGCUUAACUAUACUUAUUAUAGUUUAUCAUAAUUGUCCAUAGUGGCAAUAACUCUUUUGUAUGUGUAAAACCUUUAAUAAUGUGUUUGUUAUAUAAAUAACCCUAAACUAUACCUAUUAUAGUUUAUCAAUUAUUUGUGUGGGUAGUGAGCAUAGGCCUUACUUGUCAUAAUUUACCAAUGUUUAUAUUUUAAUGGAUAUAGCCUUGUAAUAUCAUUUAUAUAUUUACCAUACUUGUGGAGGUGUAAAUCCAUUUGUUUUCUGAUGUAUGUCUAUAUAAGAAUACAAAAUUGUCAUAUAUUGCAACUACACAUAAUCACAUAAUGAUGUAUACCUUGCUCAACAUGUUACAAGGUGAAAUGAAAUUUAUAGUGUUUUUCUGUUAAUAACAUUUUCUGUAACUGUUAUUGGAAAAAUUGUAGAAAAAUCAUAAAAUGUCCAAAUCAAGUUCUGUAACUUCUGAGAGUUUGGAAAAUGAGUCUAGUUUGUUCAUAAUUUUUAUUAUAAUUUUUAAUGACUUCUUACUUAUGUGAAAAAGUCCAUAAUCACAGACUGGUCCGGAUUGAUGUUUGAAAUGAUAGGCAGUUUUGUAAAAAUCACCAUAAAUUGUAGAAAAAUCGUAUGGAGAUGUGCAAGUAGUCAUUUUAAAGCUAAGAAGUGGAACUACAUGCACCUAAUACAGUUUUGAAAACAAAAAUGUUUAAGAUGUCCAAAACAGUCCGUGAAUGGAGUUGAACUUUUCUGAUGAAGGCUGUUAGAAAAGUGUAGUUAUGUUCUUAGUGUUUUAACUUGUAUUCCCCCCCUAAAAACUUGAGAAAACAUGAAAAUGUAGGGGUAUGAACUCACCUUAAGUGAUUUCAGUAGGUAAGUGUUGAAGAAGAGAAGUGUUCAACCCAAGAACACUUGAAGAAUCACUUGAAGAUUCGAAGAUCUAACACAAUUAUGAGAGAGUUUGUGUAAGAUAUCCAUGAUUCGAGUGGAAAUAAUUGAGAUAAUCAUAAAGAGAAUGGAUUAUUCUUACCAAAUGUGGAGGAAAAUCCCAAGAUCAGCCCUCAAAUCUCGAGUUCUAGAGAGGGAAAAUGAGAGAGAAAAGAGUUUGCUCUUUUUG